rnacentral:rRNA from 1 species
UACGGAGGGUGCAAGCGUUAAUCGGAAUUACUGGGCGUAAAGCGCACGUAGGUGGUUUGCUAAGUCAGCUGUGAAAUCCCCGGGCUCAACCUGGGCACUACAGUUGAAACUGGCAAGCUAGAGUAGGGUAGAGGGGUGUGGAAUUCCAGGUGUAGCGGUGAAAUGCGUAGAUAUCUGGAGGAACAUCAGUGGCGAAAGCGACUUCCUGGACCAGUACCGACGUUCAGGCACGAAAGCGUGGGGAGCAAACAGG